AUUCAGUGAAUCAUCGAAUCUUUGAACGCACCUUGCGCCCUUUGGUAUUCCGAGGGGC
rnacentral:rRNA from 1 species